GACGAACGCUGGCGGCGUGCUUAACACAUGCAAGUCGAACGGAAAGGCCUCUUUCGGGGGGUACUCGAGUGGCGAACGGGUGAGUAACACGUGAGUAACCUGCCCUUGACUUUGGGAUAACUUCGGGAAACUGGGGCUAAUACCGGAUAGGAGCUCCUGCUGCAUGGUGGGGGUUGGAAAGUUUCGGCGGUUGGGGAUGGACUCGCGGCUUAUCAGCUUGUUGGUGGGGUAGUGGCUUACCAAGGCUUUGACGGGUAGCCGGCCUGAGAGGGUGACCGGCCACAUUGGGACUGAGAUACGGCCCAGACUCCUACGGGAGGCAGCAGUGGGGAAUAUUGCACAAUGGGUGGAAGCCUGAUGCAGCAACGCCGUGUGCGGGAUGACGGCCUUCGGGUUGUAAACCGCUUUCGCUCAUGACGAAGCUUUGUGUGACGGUAGUGGGUAAAGAAGCACCGGCUAACUACGUG
rnacentral:rRNA from 1 species